rnacentral:lncRNA from 1 species
UCUGCAGAUUUCUAACUCUGAGCCUGUGCAUCCACUGCCAUUAAAAUCCCUCAGUGAUUGUUGUUCUGACUGUAGAGCCGAGAGGAAAGUGACACCUCUCUCCAACCCAUGGCUCUAAUCACAGCGGAAAGUGAAAAUGGGCUGAGAAGAGCCUGCUUUUGAUUAUUUGUAUUUGUUAUUUCUCUCCACCUUUGCUUCACUUUUGUAACCACUUUGGCCUUUGCAGCAUUUUAACCCUUCUGAUACACAGUGGGAGGAGAGGGGCAGAGAAGUCUUCUGUAAACAGGUGACUUUGAUGCUGUGCUCUGAAGGAUGAGAAGUUGGUAGCUGAGAAUAGUGUUAGGGGGAGAUGCAUUACCAAUAUCCUGAGAGAGCCCCGUGGCUGGAGCUGGAGGUGAGGGACUUCUUGCAGGGUCUUAGAUGGCACGUGCAAAGUUUGGGUUUCAUUCUCAAUGCAGUGAGACAGCAGCAGAAAGUUAAAUGGUGCAGCUGCCGUGGAAAACAGCUUGGUGGUUCCUCCUGUUAAACAUGGAGUUACCAUAUGAUCCAGCAAUUCCACCCCUGGGUGUAUAGACCCAAGAGAAGUAAAAACAAGGACUCAAAUACUUGUACUCAAAUGCUCACAGCAAUGCUAUUCACAUUAGCCAAAAGGGGAAGCAACCCAAAUGUCCAUCAAUGAAGGAGGAAUGGAUAAACUCAAUGCGCUCUAGCCAUACAAUGGAAUAUUAUUCAGCCAUAUGAAGGAAUGGGGAGCUGGCCCAGGUGACAAUAGGGAUAAACCUGCAAAAUACUGUGGGAAGUGAGAGAAGACCGCGACAAAAGGCUACUUACUGCGUGGCUUCAUUUAUAUAAGUGUCCAGAACUGGCAAAUUCCUAGAGACAAACAGCAGGUUAUUGGUUGCCAAAGGCUGGGGAGAGCGGGGAAUGAGAGUGUACGGGGUUGCAUGGGUACGGGGUUUCCCCUGAGGGUAACAAAAAUGUUUCGGAAUUCAAUCGAUGAAUGCCCAACACCAUGAAUGUGCAAAAUGUCACUGAAUUGUUCUCUCUAGAAUGGCUGACAUUUGGGCAAUUUUACCUCAAUUUAAAAAAAGAAAAAAUGAGGCCAGGUGCAGUGGCUCACGCCUGUAAUCCCAGCACUUUGGGAGGCCGAGGCAGGCAGAUCACUGAAAGUUGGGAGUUCGAGACCAGCCUGUCCAACAUGGUGAAACCCUGUCUCUACUAAAAAUACAAAAGAAAAAUUAGCCAAGUGUGUCUGUAAUCCCAGCUACACGGGAGGCUAAGGCAGGAGAAUCACUUGAGGUGGAGGUUGCAGUGAGGUGGUAUCAUGCCACUGCACUUCAGCCGGGACAAAAAAGCAAGACUCUGUCUCAAAAAACAAAACAAAAAACAAACAAAAAAA